UACGUAGGGUCCGAGCGUUGUCCGGAAUUAUUGGGCGUAAAGGGCUCGUAGGCGGUUUGUCGCGUCGGGAGUGAAAACACCAGGCUUAACCUGGUGCCUGCUUUCGAUACGGGCAGACUUGAGGCAUGCAGGGGAGAACGGAAUUCCUGGUGUAGCGGUGAAAUGCGCAGAUAUCAGGAGGAACACCGGUGGCGAAGGCGGUUCUCUGGGCAUGCUCUGACGCUGAGGAGCGAAAGUGUGGGGAGCGAACAGG
rnacentral:rRNA from 1 species